GCAGAGGCUGGACUGCCAAUCCUGACCCAAACAGAGAGAACCGUGUCUUCUGGGGCAUCCAAUGCACAGAGCUUCAUAAACAGGAACAUCCGUCAUGACAGCAGUUGUGAGAGGGAAAAUUGAUCUUGCUGAUGGAUUGUAUGCAAAAGAUACCGACCCCUAACUCAAGGGAAUUGGGUUAUUCAAGUGUUGCUAAGGAACGAGGACAGAUGCAGCAGGUAAGGCAGGGGUUGCUUAGUAACCAGGAGUCCCUGGGUGAUGGAGUGGCCAGAGCAGGGCCGGUUCAGCAGGAAGCAUGCAGGCCUGGUCAUCACGCUCUUGGCAGUUGUGUGGCCUGGGGGGUCCUGUUUCCAUACCACACUUGGCUCUCUGUGACUAUGCACAGCUGUCAAACAGCCCCAAAGGGCCUGCCGGCUAAUCGGGUAGCUGUGGUCACAGGGUCCACUGAAGACACCAGCUUCACCAUCGCCCGGUGUCUGCCCCAGGACGGGGCCCAUGUGGCCAUCAGCAGCCGGAAGCAGCAGAAUGUGGACAGCGCAGUGGCCAAGUUCUCUGCCUAGGAACUGGGUGCCUACAACAUCAGCAAGACAGCCCUACUGGGCCUCACUAGAACCCUGGCUUUGCAGUUGGCCCCAGGGAUAUAUGGGUGAACUGCCUGGUUCUAGGAUUAAUCAAGACUGACUUCACCAAAACAGUGAGGACUGGGGUGUCCCUCACCCCCAGCCUAGUUCAGUGGAAACUCUCCUUAAUGCCCAAGGUAAGGGGUGAUUGAAGCUUCAGGUUACCAUCCUUUGUGCUGGGUACUCACUGUCUGUUGCAGUCAGGCCAUCCACCUCAAGAAGGGCAAACCUACCAUGGGUGAUCUGCCAUGUGGUAGCCUUGAGCCCUGCCCAUCUCCUUGUUUUAGCAGCCCCGAGUCUCUCAUCUUUCCCAUUUGUCCAGUUACACAAGAACAAGGCUUUCUGGAACCUCCUCAAGAAGAACCACCAGCUGAAGAGGCAAGUGGGUUCAGAGCUUUGGUGGUGCAGAUGGGAGAGGUGGCUGAGUCUACCUCACGAGCAGACCUCUGUCUGUCUCCUGGCCAUUUUUUGUGCUGAAAUCUGGGGUUCAAGUAGCCCUGUGGAGUCUAUUCCAUCCCCACAUGGAGCCCACUGUUGCUUGUGGCCUGUGAGCCCCAGGGCAGCAGAACCAGUGUGCCAAUGACUGAUGCUAUGUCUUCCUUUCAUCAAGAAUGGGGCAGCCUAAGGACUGUGCAGGACUCGUGUCCUUCCUG
rnacentral:lncRNA from 1 species